UUGGAGGGGUAUCCCUUUAGUGGCGCAGCUAACGCAAUAAGUUGACCGCCUGGGGAGUACGGUCGCAAGAUUAAAACUCAAAUGAAUUGACGGGGGCCCGCACAAGCGGUGGAGCAUGUGGUUUAAUUCGACGCAACGCGAAGAACCUUACCUGGUCUUGACAUCCUACGAACUUACUAGAAAUAGUUUGGUGCCUUCGGGAACGUAGUGACAGGUGCUGCAUGGCUGUCGUCAGCUCGUGUCGUGAGGUGUUGGGUUAAGUCCCGUAACGAGCGCAACCCUUGUCCUUAUUUGCCAUCAUUAAGUUGGGCACUCUAGGGAGACUGCCGGUGACAAACCGGAGGAAGGUGGGGACGACGUCAAGUCAUCAUGGCCCUUACGACCAGGGCUACACACGUGCUACAAUGGAGCGUACAAAGGGUUGCGACCUCGCGAGAGUGAGCUAAUCCCAUAAAACGUUUCGUAGUCCGGAUCGCAGUCUGCAACUCGACUGCGUGAAGUCGGAAUCGCUAGUAAUCGUGAAUCAGAACGUCACGGUGAAUACGUUCCCGGGCCUUGUACACACCGCCCGUCACACCAUGGGAGUGGGUUGCAAAAGAAGUGGGUAGCAUAACCUUCGGGAGUGCGCUCACCACUUUGUGAUUCAUGACUGGGGUG
rnacentral:rRNA from 1 species